rnacentral:rRNA from 3 species
AAUCCACACGACUCUCGGCAACGGAUAUCUCGGCUCUCGCAUCGAUGAAGAACGUAGCGAAAUGCGAUACCUGGUGUGAAUUGCAGAAUCCCGCGAACCAUCGAGUCUUUGAACGCAAGUUGCGCCCGAGGCCAUUCGGCCGAGGGCACGCCUGCCUGGGCGUCACGC